UACAGAGGUCUCAAGCGUUGUUCGGAUUCAUUGGGCGUAAGGGGUGCGUAGGUGGCGCGCUAAGUCAGGUGUGAAAUUUCGGAGCUUAACUCCGAAACUGCAUUUGAUACUGGCGUGCUUGAGGACUGGAGAGGAGACUGGAAUUCAUGGUGUAGCAGUGAAAUGCGUAGAGAUCAUGAGGAAGACCAGUGGCGAAGGCGGGUCUCUGGACAGUUCCUGACACUGAGGCACGAAGGCCAGGGGAGCAAACGGG
rnacentral:rRNA from 1 species